rnacentral:ribozyme from 1 species
GGCGGAGCAAUCCGCCAAGCUGUAAUGACACCACCAAAGCGGUGAGCGUUCCAAGUCGCUGAAAGUCAGAGGACAGC